GAUGAAGAACGUAGCGAAAUGCGAUACUUGGUGUGAAUUGCAGAAUCCCGUGAACCAUCGAGUCUUUGAACGCAAGUUGCGCCCGAAGCCAUUAGGCCGAGGGCACGCCUGCCUGGGCGUCACACGUCGUUGCCCCCCCAUCUACUCCUUCGGGAUUGCGGGGGGCGGAUGAUGGCCUCCCGUGUGCCUCGCCGCGCGGUUGGCAUAAAUGCCAAGUCCUCGGCGACGCACGCCACGACAAUCGGUGGUUGCGAAACCUCGGUUGCCCGUCGUGUGCGGUCGUCGCGCAUCGAGGGCUCGAAAAAAUUGCCGGGUUCCGGCUCGGCUUUCAACGCGACCCCAGGUCAGGCGGGGUUACCCGCUGAGUUUAAGCAUAUCAAUAAGCGGAGGA
rnacentral:misc_RNA from 1 species